AGGGUCCGAUUCAUCCUUCUCUUCUUCUAUAUACUUGAGUACAAUCAAGGUACAACACUUAGGUAGUAUAUAAUUCUCAUUAAUAUUAAAAUGAAUCUCACAAACUAGCGCGUGGACCUCUUGUUGUAGCUUCUUUGCACGACUACGUGUAAUCGGUCCAUCGAUGACUUGGGCUGGUGUCGAUGUAGGUGAAACUUGAGUAGGUGU
rnacentral:lncRNA from 1 species